UUUUUGGAAAUAAUUUAAAGUCUAAUCUGCCCACUGAUAAAUAUAUUAAAGGGCUGCAGUAUUUUGACUGUACAAAGGUAGCAUAAUCAUUAGUCUCUUAAUUGGUGACUUGUAUGAAAGAUUGGAUGAAAUAUAAACUGUCUCUAAUUAAUUUAUAAAAUUUAAUUUUUUAGUAAAAAAGCUAAAAUAAUUUUAAAAGACGAGAAGACCCUAUAGAGUUUUAUAAUUUAUUUGAUUAUUUUUAAUAUGUAAAUUUUAAAAUUAAAAUUAAAUAAAUUAUUUUGUUGGGGUGACAGAAAAAUUAAAUUAACUUUUUUAAAUAAUUAACAUUAAUUUAUGAAUAAAUGAUCCAUUAAUAUUGAUUAAAAGAAAAAAUUACCUUAGGGAUAACAGCGUAAUUUUUUUUUUUAGUUCAAAUAGGAAAAAAAGUUUGCGACCUCGAUGUUGGAUUAAGAUAAAAUUUAAAUG
rnacentral:rRNA from 1 species